UGGGGAAUAUUGGACAAUGGGGGCAACCCUGAUCCAGCCAUGCCGCGUGGAUGAUGAAGGCCUUCGGGUUGUAAAGUCCUUUCGCGCACGACGAUGAUGACGGUAGUGCGAGAAGAAGCCUCGGCUAACUCCGUGCCAGCAGCCGCGGUAAGACGGAGGAGGCUAGCGUUGUUCGGAAUUACUGGGCGUAAAGCGCACGCAGGCGGCGUGUCUAGUCGGAGGUGAAAUCCCGGGGCUCAACCCCGGAACGGCCUCCGAUACUGGCAUGCUGGAACGAGGGAGAGGAGAGCGGAAUUCCCAGUGUAGAGGUGAAAUUCGUAGAUAUUGGGAAGAACACCGGUGGCGAAGGCGGCUCUCUGGCCCUCUGUUGACGCUCAUGUGCGAAAGCGUGGGGAGCAAACAGG
rnacentral:rRNA from 1 species